GAGGGCGGGCCCCUCGGAUUCGCCGAUCAGGCGGUGAUUCCAAACCACCUUGGGCUGCAUACGUAAAGAGUGUGUGUGGUGAGCGCCACGGGAAAAGGCUGACCAAGAGUCAGUCAGGU
rnacentral:ncRNA from 1 species